ACGCACUCGCACACACUCCUCACUCACACUCUCACACACAUCUGGCAGCCCACCCCUUCCAUUCCUUUACUUCAGAAGUAUAUCUUCAUUGAGAUUUCCCCAAGCGCUUGUAGGAGAGCAAAGAUCGAGAGGAAAAGCUGAAUUCAAGGGUAUCCUGUCCAGGGGACAGAAGGCAAUCCUGCCCAAGCAACAGAAUAAAACACUUCGAAAACAAAACUUGUGUACCGGUUGUAGGACAUUGAGCAGCUGAAGACUCCUGAAAAGUUGGAAGUCUGUAUGCUGAAACAUGGGGAGAACAUCAUUGACACCCUGGGAGCAGAGGUGGACCAUCUGGAGAAAGAGCUCAAGCAACGCAAUCCAGAAGUGCGGCACGUGGAUCUGGAGCUCCUGUAAUGCUGUGAGGGAAGUGCAGCAUCUGUGUGGCAGAGAAGAAGCCGGACAAGUUGAAGAAGGUUUAGGUGGUUGUGCAGCUCUACUGAACCAGCUCUGAACCACCAUCCACAAAGUCUUACUUUUCAUCAUUACCACGUCAUUGCAGCGCUUCCUCAAUCCACACGUCUGAUACUUCUGUCAACUGAUCAUGCAAGAAGGUGUUCCGUUAGGUCCGAAAGAGUUCAUAGAUGACAAUAACAAAAGAAGGUUGUGAGUUUAAGUCCCAGAGCUGUAAAAGCUGAGAGUCUGGAUAAAAGUUUGCAUUUGCAAAAGAAAGACAUUAAUGUACAAAUACACCAUCUUUCAUUAUGUACUAUUAAUACAGAGGUCUUCAAGAAGUUUUAAAUUCAGCAUAUCUAUAGCAUAUAUGUGAUUACCACAGACUACAUGUUUCUGUGUUGUAAGAAAUAAACAGAAAACCAUUUACUCAAAAGUGACAAUGGAAGUCUAAUAGCUGUGUUUUUUUUUUUUUUUUUUUUUUUUUUUUUUUUGCCCAAUAAAUAUUUACUAUGCAGAACUACAUGAUUGAAAUCUACCACAAUUACACUUUAACUGUAAAUGUUAAAAAGUGAUGUAUAUAGAAAGCAAGCGCAAAAGUCAUCUGGUUAAUACAGAAUCUUUCCAUCUAAAACAACUAGCAUUUCUGAAUGCAGGAGUUCAUACUGAUUCAUUUACAUAUAAAUAAAAAUUAAUUGAAUCAUUUGACAGAACGACUCCUUUAUAGGAGAAUGUAAAUGUUUUUUUGUUUUGUUCUGUUCAUUUGUCUGCAAAAAGAAAUGUAAAUAUAUAUUAGUUUGUGGUAAUCAAACAUCUGUUACUUCCAUUGAAAUAAAUGUCAUUCAUAAUUUGA